rnacentral:lncRNA from 1 species
AAUAUCUUUAUAUAUAAUGCCAUUAAUCAAAAAUCUAUGACUGUGCCCAUUAAAUUAUGAAUACAAUGAAUGCUAGUAUCAUAUCCAUUAAAAAAAUAAAAACUAUCAUUUUUCUGAAAAAAAUUAGAUAGAAUUCAUAUCUUGUGAUUGUCCAUUGGCACCCCAAUAGAUUUGAUGAGCACUUGUGAAGAUCAAGAAAGCUUUGAAUUCUUAAAAACAAAUAACCAGAAUAAUUGAAGUCAUGGAAUACAAACAUGAUGGCAAAAGGCAAGGAGGUGGUUGAAGGGUAGAUUUAGAACCCAAAAUAGUAGAGCAAAUAUGCUAAAUCAAGACAAGUCUAUCCAUGAUAUAGUAAUUUCUAAUUCCAUUGCAAAUAACUCACUUUUGCCUAGUAGAGUAAAAGCUAGCCUAAUUUUUUUCAUGAUAAAUAACAUCAUCACUGAGAAGGGGAGAGAGAAUCA